CGGUGGCCGCCGCGUUAGCCUUUCAGCGAACACAAGCCCGGAAUCAUUGUUUGCUGAUUCAAGCUUAUUAAUAGCAUCAUAUCGUUACAAAUUCACCCAUUAUAGUAUUUUUCUAAUACCAAACGGAAUGUUUUAUAUUUGAUCCACCUCGGAUACAGUUGAUUGUUACCUGACAAUUUU